AUGCUGAAAUUCAGCAGGGAUCCCCGUGAAGACGUUGCAACUCAUCUCGCACGGACGUCACAGAAGCUGCCCCUCGUGACAGAUGGCUCUGCCUACCUGAUCUCUGUCAUGGACACUGAAGACCACGUUCUUGACCCACAAUCUUGUUCUAGUGAAGAGAAUUCCUUAGGCAUAGUACACGGGGAUUUGCAGGCCUUCCAACAUUCUUUGCCCGCCAAGUGACAUCCAGGCUUCUGUUACAACCAGGGCCAGCUGCAUAAUGUAUGGGGCCAGUGCAAAGUGAAAAUGUAGUGCCCAUUGUUCAAAAUGCAGGGAAAAAGGCAUCCCUCAAGUACAUACAAUAGAAAAGCUUUCCCUUUCUUCCAUGAUCUCUCUUUGAGUUGUCAUGAUUUUUUAAAACUUUCUGUUUGAUAUUGUUGUGAGUAAAUUAAAGUUGAAGUUUUAAGUUGUUAGCAUAAAUUCUACCAUUCAUUUUUCUAUGUGAAAAUGACAAUUUUAAACUGUUUUUAACUUGUGUGUGGAAUCACUAAAAUUACCAAAUUUAUAUUUCAUAGCUUAUACGUGAUAAAGUAUUUGGUUCCUACUAGAACAGUAGAAACACUGCACAAACUACCUCAAAUGUCAUUUCACUUCUUGCUACAUACACUGUCUGCCUUCAUCCCACUUGUAAGUCAGAAAGGGUUGAUAGGAAAAGGACUGUGGGUGGUCUGGCUUUUCCCUUCCUUCUGUGUCAUUGUUUUCAGCCUGUGUGGUGGCUAAUACUGGGAGAGACCUGAGUAAGACCAUAGUAGAAUGCUUUGGUCACUGUGUUACUUCUUUCUUGUGAAGCAGGUUUCGGUUUGAAGGGAAAGGGUGGCCUCUCUGGGCUUACAGAGCCCCUUCUCAAGCAGUAGUGGGCAGAUGGACCGAACACACUUAUAUUGAGAACUCAACUUGGAGUCUUGCUAAACUCCCAUUCUCAUAGUCCUGUGGAAGGUCUUUGCACUGUUCACCCAGGGAGUGCUGCAGUCAGUGCCGACAGUUCCCAGAUCACAAUGGUUUGGAUUUGACGAUUGUAUGAGAGCCACAUGCAUUCAGUAGAAACUGUACUUGGAAGGUGGAUUUGGAUCUUCUCCCAGGCUAACGUUCAG
rnacentral:lncRNA from 1 species